UGGCUCAGUGGUAGAGUGCUUGCCUUGAAUGCAUGAAGCCCUGGGUUCAAUUCCUCAG
rnacentral:tRNA from 1 species